GGUGAACGCUGGCGGCGUGCUUAACACAUGCAAGUCGAACGAAGCACUUUGAAAGCUUGCUUUUAAAGUGACUGAGUGGCGGACGGGUGAGUAACGCGUGGGUAACCUGCCUCAUACAGGGGGAUAACAGUUGGAAACGACUGCUAAUACCGCAUAAUACCAUAGUGUCGCAUGGCACAUUGGUCAAACUUUUUGGGUGUGAGAUGGGCCCGCGUCUGAUUAGCUAGUUGGUGGGGUAACGGCCUACCAAGGCGACGAUCAGUAGCCGGCUUGAGAGAGUGAACGGCCACAUUGGGACUGAGACACGGCCCAA
rnacentral:rRNA from 1 species